GAUAUUGUUUCCCCACUGUGACCUCCAGAAAUUAACCUCCUUAGCUAUGGAAUGAGUCUCUUGAAGGAAGAGAAAAUCUGCUUUAAUUUUUUUACCAAAUAAAGACAAGGCUUUGCACUUUCCACUGUCCCUUAGACCCCUGGCAUUUAACGAGACAAAAGAUAAAGUUUGAGAGAAAAAAAACAAACAAACAAAAAAAACAACUAAGUAAGCUAUAGACAGUUAAGUCGCAAGUAACUUACCACAAACUAUUAUAGUACCAUCGAGAACUGUACCAUAGACAGUCACAGUUGUGUGAAUUUUAAAGCAAACAAAGUGGCCUUUUUGCCUCUUUAGUGUGGGUGAACAUAAAGAUGAGCCGGAAUAGGAAAAGUUAACAACUGGGCUUCAUCUCAAUUAGGGAGGGAUGUAGUGUUCAUAAAAUGUUCAGGUCCUCCUUCAGGCACUUGUGGUCAAAAAACAGAAACAAAAUAAAAAAGUCCAUAGAUGCAUUUCGAUAAAGAAAAGAGAGCAGCUUCACUCUUCACUCCUGAGCUUGUAUGCUGAGCUGCAUAGCAUAUAGUAAAUUUUAAUGUUGUAGAUUAAGACAAACGAAAGAGCCCAGAUGUACUGGACUAAAAGUAAAGUGCACUUUAAUUGAGGUGCAUUCAGGAAUGUAUAGGCACUGUUUCCCCUUUGAAAAAAAAAAUAAAAAAAAAACAAAAAACGCAGCAUCACGGGUUUUCUGUGUUCAUCAGUACAACAGGAAACCAUUUGUCAUAUUAAAAUAAGAAGAGUGAGUGCACAGUCUGAUAAUAAACGUAGGCUAACAGUUUGAUUAUUGAGGAGAGUGCAUUCAGAAUAAAAAAGAGACAAAAAAAAAAGUGCCUUGGUUUUGCUAAAGCAAAGGAUGAAUAUUUGGUAAAUGUGCUGAGUACCUUCAUGUCAGCUUCAUUAGAUGAUACUUUCAUUUUGGAGGAAAGAUUUCCUUGUUCUCAAUAAAGCAGCGACCACCAACGAAGUAAGUCACUUUUCCUUCCUUUCGGGCGGCUUCCACUGCUGGCCACAGCUUCUUCCUAUUCUCUCUGUCGAUCUGGCAAAGGUCCUCAGCGAAACGCAGACCAUGUUCACGCAGGUACCGGGAGUUUUUGGCAGCUGUCCAGACAGCUGCUUUUUGGACCCGGGACGAGAACUGAAUGAUGACGCUUCUGGGCUCCUUCGGAUUCUUUGUGCCAAGGCGAUGGACGGUGUCGAUCACUUCUGGAUGCCGUUGAGCCGCAAGUUCCAGCGACGAGAGUAUCUUUCCAGGUCUAUGAUCCGCUCUUCCAUGAUUCAAGCUUGUCGGACCGAGUGUUAAUUAGCUCGGCAAGUGAGGAGAUAAACUCAGGUAAGUAAAGGUAGGUAAGUUAUUUUCCAUGGCUUUGCCGGCAGUAUUUUCAUGUUCAUGCAUAACCGUGGUAGUUGUCAAUCAGAAUAUUGCAGCUAACGUUAGUUUUGUUAGCCGAUUUUGCCUCGUUGCUAGCUUCUCCCGCCUUUUCGUCACGCUGUUUUCUCUUGUCGAUGGCCGAAUUCGGCAUAUUUCGUGUUUGUUUUGACAAAUUGAAACGGAAAACGUUCGUGGCAGAUCUUAGACAGAGGCAGGCUCUCUAUAAUUUAAGUUAUUCACUCUUAACUUAGCUUUGGUAGCAGAGCUCGAUUCAGGGGGAGUGCUCACGGCGCCAUUUUGGGUCCCUCGAGAGGCUUGCUCUACGGUAGUGGCAGCGCAUCUGAUGCAAUCAGUGUCACUCAGUAUAUACUGUUUAUUUCAUAUUUGAUGUUUCA